AUGGGUCCCCGCCCCCCCCGGGGGGCACCAUGUUACCUACCAAAUGCAGGGACCCAGAGGUGUGUGCCAUGCCCAUGGGCCGGAAUGCCCCCUGAGAUGCUCCCCAUGUCCCCUCGGCCACCCCAGAGGUCGCCUGGGGUGAUUGCCAACACCCGCCAGCUUUCCUGGGGGCUUUCCCAGACCCCUUGUGGGUGGGCAGGCAGUACCAGGGAGUUGCCGCGCGCCCCCCCCCCCCCCAGGAACAAGCCUGCAGUGGGGAGAGUGAGCGCCUGUGGAGAACUGGAUGAGGGCCCCGCUCCCUCCUGGCCCCGAGUGUUGACCUGGAGGGAGACACAAAGCCAUGUUGCAGCAUCAGCAUCUCUGAGCUGGGGUGAGGUGUCAUCGUGGGACCCCGGUGGGCUCCCACAGGGGACCCCAAGAAUUCGAGGCCCAGCCAGACGUGCGCGUGUCCUGCUGCGCCCCUGUGUACCAGCGCGGGUCGUCCAGCCCCCACACACUGCGUGCAGCUUCAGAGACAACCUCCUUCUCACGGGGACACAGGCAGAGAGGCAGACAAGGUGUGUACAGGGAGAAAGAAUCCUGGAAACGGUCGCACACGGACUCGCACAAUAACAGCUCUUCUGGAAGGCUCUCGGCUGUUCUAAAAAGCCUUACACAGUUUCGCGAAUUCGAUGCUCGUGACAGCCCCGAGAGAUGGGCACUCCUGUUAGUACCCCUUUGUACAGAUAAGGAAACUGAGCCCAGAGAGGGGGAGCAACUAGCCCAAGGGCACAGGGCGGCCGCCUCCACGGGUUCCUGCUUCCCUGUGCUGGGUGGUGUCAUUGUACCUGCCAGGAGCCAGCACUUGGCAGGUCAACGCGUGUCACUUAGGGACAAAACAGUCUGUCCCGGAGAAGGAGGUCACUGAGGGGUCAGUGUCUAGUUAUACGCGACUCGGGAUUCCGGCUUGAGUCUAUGCGUCCAGCAUUGAUGAAGUGCCCGCUGGGUCCCAGGCCCUGAGCUCAGCCACGCGGGGCCUGCGGGUGAGGACAACAAUCCUCUCCCAGCCUGCUUGGAGUCCGCAGCCUAAGACAGGAGACGGACAAGGAGCCAUUAAAGAUGUCAUUAGAAACAGGGCAGGUGCCAGGACAGGGAGCCGGAUGGGGCCGGGAGACAGGCUCCCAGGGGUCCCAUCCAGACGGCUUCCCUGAGGAGGGGGCAUCGGAGAUGAGAACCGAGAGUGACUAGGCGUUAGCUUGGAGAAAGGUGGCGAAGAAGGGUUCCAGGCAGAGGCACGAGCAUGUGCACGAGCUGGAGGGGAGAGGGCCAGGUGUGCGAGUGGCGUCUGGGUCCAGGCUGGGAGUGUGCAAUGCCCGCCCACGCUCAGGGGAGCUUGCUAAACAGAACUGAGCAUGCAACUCCAAGGGCCAUCCUGAGUGUCCUCGUCUACACGGGAGGGUACAGACACGGGGCGGGCGAUACGAGGUCAGGCUUGGACAGUGACACGUGCUACAACAGAGGGCCCUUCAAACCCUGUGCAAAGGAAGGAAGCCACGUGGCGUGUGAUUCGCUUGACGGGAAAUGUCCGGGACAGGCACAUCCACAGAGACGGAAAGUGGGCUCAUGGCUGUCA
rnacentral:lncRNA from 1 species